rnacentral:rRNA from 1 species
AUUGAACGCUGGCGGCAGGCCUAACACAUGCAAGUCGAGCGGAUGAAGGGAGCUUGCUCCUGGAUUCAGCGGCGGACGGGUGAGUAAUGCCUAGGAAUCUGCCUGGUAGUGGGGGAUAACGUCCGGAAACGGGCGCUAAUACCGCAUACGUCCUGAGGGAGCAAGUGGGGGAUCUUCGGACCUCACGCUAUCAGAUAAGCCUAGGUCGGAUUAGCUAGUUGGUGGGGUAAAGGCCUACCAAGGCGACGAUCCGUAACUGGUCUGAGAGGAUGAUCAGUCACACUGGAACUGAGACACGGUCCAGACUCCUACGGGAGGCAGCAGUGGGGAAUAUUGGACAAUGGGCGAAAGCCUGAUCCAGCCAUGCCGCGUGUGUGAAGAAGGUCUUCGGAUUGUAAAGCACUUUAAGUUGGGAGGAAGGGCAGUAAGUUAAUACCUUGCUGUUUUGACGUUACCAACAGAAUAAGCACCGGCUAACUUCGUG